AACUCUCCAAACAGAAUUGCCUGGAGCUCUUUUUUUUCUCUGCACUCUAAGACUUGGCUCCUCCCAUCUGCUCUGGUUGGCCAAUCCUAGGAGUCUCUCUCUAAGCUCCUCCCCAUUUCUAACCACACUCAAGAUGGCUGCCUGGCAUUCCUCAACAAAAUGGAUGCCUGCCUCACUCACUGUUACCAAGGUUUCAUUCCCGGCCUAAUAGACUAAAAGAUGCCAUUCCCUAAAAGGUUUUGCUCUUGCUCGAGGAGACUAUGCUGUUAGCUACUUUGUUAGGUAAGCUCUGUUAUUCCAAAACUUCCAUAGACUCCCCUCUCGCUUUUCACUGCUUCUUGUAAAGCUCUUCCCAGCUCAAGCUGCUGCCUGCCCUUGCUAAUAAUGCCUUGUCACGCAGUGACAGAAUUAUGCUCUCACACUGGUUUCACAUGUCACAAAUAAUUGCUCUCAUUGCUCAUCAUAUUGAAGUUGUCAGGACUCUCUUACGCCUAUAAUUUGUGCGAGUUGAUCAUACUUUGGUAAAUCAACAGGUCACGGCCUGUGACCUCUAACCCCGGUGACUGGCUGAGACCGACCUACAAAUCUUAUGACAGGGACAACAGCGAGGUCUCCAAUACUGUUUUCAUCAAGAGGGGAUGUACACAGUCAAGUUGCAUUUUGAAUGCCUGGAAAAGAAAAAGUAGAGACAUGGUAUUCUUGACAGAGACUUUUAUUGUGAAUGAGAGGGCAAUCCAGGCAUCUUUUGUUACUCCGAGCCUUCAAUAGCUCAGCAGCUAUAUACACCAGAGGAAAAGGAGACCUAUGAACCUGAGCAAAAGUAAUACUGCACAGAUCAGCUGGAAGGAGGUCAGGAAGGAAUUGUUUUUCAACUUAGAUGCUUUAACAGCAAGUUGUCAAAAGUAGUGCCCUGUAGAAACAUGUAUCCGAACACAGAGAUGGAUUCAUCAUCAGCUCCAAGCUGCAAAACACCAUCAGCGUAAAUGUUUACUUCUCAGCAAAAAAAAAAAAAAAAAGUAAAAAGAGCACAAUGAACAGAAGUGUCCUUUGUGACUGCAUCUCUCCAAAUGUCUGCCUGAGCCUUACCUCCCUUUACUUUCAUGAGUGAUAGAAAUGGUGAGAGGAAAGGAUCGGUAUCGCACACUUAUUAUUCCAGUUUGCAGAGACAACAGCUGGCUCUGGGUCCUUUGAUUGCCAGGUGUUUGUCUGAUGCCACAUGUUCAUUUGAAGGCCUUUUGUAAAUACACUGAAUAAAUGAAAGCAAAAGAC